CUGGGCCUACGGGGGGCAGCAGUGAGGAAUAUUGGUCAAUGGUCGGGAGACUGAACCAGCCAAGCCGCGUGAGGGAGGAAGGUACAGAGUAUCGUAAACCUCUUUUGUCAGGGAACAAAGACUGGGACGCGUCCCCGGAUGAGUGUACCUGAAGAAAAAGCAUCGGCUAACUCCGUGCCAGCAGCCGCGGUAAUACGGAGGAUGCGAUCGUUAUCCGGAUUUAUUGGGUUUAAAGGGUGCGCAGGCGGUCUGUUAAGUCAGCGGUCAAAGCCCGGGGCUCAACCCCGGCCCGCCGAUGAAACUGG
rnacentral:rRNA from 1 species